AGUGAACGCUGGCGGUAGGCCUAACACAUGCAAGUCGAACGGCAGCACAGUAAGAGCUUGCUCUUACGGGUGGCGAGUGGCGGACGGGUGAGGAAUACAUCGGAAUCUACUUUUUCGUGGGGGAUAACGUAGGGAAACUUACGCUAAUACCGCAUACGCCCUACGGGUGAAAGCAGGGGAUCUUCGGACCUUGCGGGAUUGAAUGAGCCGAUGUCGGAUUAGCUAGUUGGCGGGGUAAAGGCCCACCAAGGCGACGAUCCGUAGCUGGUCUGAGAGGAUGAUCAGCCACACUGGAACUGAGACACGGUCCAGACUCCUACGGGAGGCAGCAGUGGGGAAUAUUGGACAAUGGGCGCAAGCCUGAUCCAGCCAUACCGCGUGGGUGAAGAAGGCCUUCGGGUUGUAAAGCCCUUUUGUUGGGAAAGAAAAGCAGCAGGUUAAUACCCCGCUGUUCUGACGGUACCCAAAGAAUAAGCACCGGCUAACUUCGUG
rnacentral:rRNA from 1 species